GGAGAGANGGCUCAGUGGUUAGAGCAUUUGUUUUUCUUACAGAGGACCUGGGUUCGAUUCCCAGUACCUACA
rnacentral:tRNA from 1 species